UUUGUAAAUCGAGUUUGAGAACUGCUGCAUUGGUGAAUAAACAGGCGUUUCGUUUUGUUUGUGAUAAACGAGUCAGUUUAAGGUUUUCAGAACUCAGUGUGUGUGUGAGUGUGUGAGUGUGUGUGUGAGGUUGACUGGAGCUGCUCCCCCUAUAGCUGGCGUUCGGACAUGGCAAAAAGAUUGUAGUUCGAUGAACCGAGUGACCUCGCAGCUGCACGUCGACCCAUCGUCUCGCUGUACGGUCGAGAGACGAGAGGCAAACACUGUACCGGCGUGAAAGACAAAAUGGUGGAUUAGGGCUUGAUAAGUCUUGAACGUUUUGACUUUUGUCGAAACAAGAUAUGAGACGAGGCAAAGAGGUUCAAGAGGCAGCACAAGGAUCUGCGGUUAUUAUAGAUGAGGGACAGCACAGGGAUCCUGGAGCAGAGACGAGCGUGCUGCCCUGAGGACAGUAACACAAACGCAUGGAUGGGGUGACAGCGUGCCACAUCGUACUCCGGCUGCAGUGUGCCACCCGAUGCUCCCCAAAGCAGA
ensembl:lncRNA